GAGAUUGCUCCUCUUGGAGUCUUCUUAGCGACCCAGGAUAAGGGAUUUCUUUUUAAAACAAUGGUAAUGGUGGUUUUUUCAACUGCAUCGCAUGCUACGGUCUCUGGACAUCUGGAAAAAAUUGAAUGAAAGCAAAUCACACAAUAAGUAAUUCUAUGCAUCACAAAAAACAGUGCAGGCUUCAUAAGAGAAGAUGAUCUCUGUAAUUUUGAUGCAUCCUUUCUCCUUCUCUGCCCUUCAUCUCCAUACAACUGGUUCGUCCUGAGUUGGCCCAGGUGUGCAGAGCAGGGAUGAUUGUCAUCAGGUCAGGGAAAUGAAUGGCUGGAGCAUGGGAGAAGGGCACAUUUUUUCUUGAAUACAAGGACAAGAACACACAAGGUGAAUGGUGCUGAUGCUUCUGUCCUUUGCAACAGCUUCUGCAUACCUGGGACUGUUGGGAGGACGCUUCAUUUACAGGCAGAAGAUUUCCAGAUUUCUUGAAGGACAUCUAAUGAUUGGUAUUUAAUGUUCACCAGUACAGUAUGUGCUGCUUCAGUCUCAUGAAGCAGGGAUAUAACUUCACCUGUUCAGACUGGAGAUCAGCUGGAGAGCAACAAGAAUGGGAAUUUAAAACCAAGGGGGAAAUUUUAUUAUAAAUGCAGAAUCUAAAACCUAAAUUGCAAUUUUCAUUUAGUAAAGUAAGACCUCCAGAGUAUUUGCUGAUUGGUCAUUCAAAGCUGACUGACAAGUGUAUGACUCCCCAGUACCUCUUGAAGUGAAGGCUUCCCACUUCAUUUAUGCAUCAAAAAGCACAGUUGAUGCUGCAACAGGUGCUGAACAAACUUGUGAAUUUUCUCUUCCCUCUUUUUUUUAGUUUUCCUUUCUGGAUGUGAGAACUGGGUGUGGAAGUAUGUGUUCUUCUUGAAUCGAUGUGGGUUUUUUCCUUCAUUGGUUCAAAUCUUUGUUCAAAUGAGGAGAGAGCUUUUAAAGCAAAUCUCCUCUUCAUUUCACUUCUCACACACGUUGCUUUGCAACACAUCAUGACUACCAAGUGCACAAACCAGAUUUUCUUCCAAUUAAACUAAACUGGGAGAUGUGAGACAUCCAUACCUCAUUGUUCCAAUCUCUACUGGCCACUGACAGGUCUGGACUGGAAUCUCUUAAAGGGAAGUAUCUUAAUUCGUGAAUAUCAUGGAAUGUGGAUGCAUGGAUAGUCUGGGUUUGGACCUACAUUUGCUCUACAGAUCUAUCCCUACUGGACUGCAUAACCAGAUCAUGUAGACACAGCUUUUUCUGCACAAAUGUUCUAUCUUUGUCUCCUUGUGCACAGGAACAGUUUGGAUCUUACUCAGACAGUAAACAUGAAAGAUCACACAUAAUUAUUUAUCUCUCAACUCUCAGGAUACACAUAUGCUGACAGCCCAGUAAGCUUAGAAAUGAAGAUAUAUAGAGGUCACGCACUUGGAAAAAUAAUAGAAGUCAGAACUCAUAAAUGAUAUUUUCAGAUAUAAAUUUAAGCUCUUUUAAUGCUAAUAAUAUUGGCAUGAGGUUAGCCAGUCUGCUCCUCAUUCUAGCCAUCACUUCAGUAACCUUUGUUAAGUUAAAAAACAUACUUCUGCUCCUCCAGGUGUGAGACAAUUUCUCCAGAUGAGCACUUCUGUCUCUAUGGAAAGACCACAGACAGACCUUAAUGUUCCCAGCAACUCUGACCUAAAUAAGAGUUUAACAUACAUUGUAGAGAGGAAACUACCAUGGAUAUUCUCUGCAAACUCUUUCCUGGAUGAGGCACCUUCCCUGAAAGGCAUCCUGAGAGUAUAGUGCUGAACAUUGUCACGCAGGACCUGCAAUAAAGCUGAACUACAGUUAUAACACAGCAUAAUAUUACUUUUGUAUUUGUCAUGAGGUUAGAUUCUUUUCAAGACAUAUAUAUCACUGUGGGGAGAACAAAGCAAAGACAAAAGAUGGGUCCCAAUGAUGGGCAAGGGACAGCACCAGUUGCCUCUCUCAAAUAAUUCUUACAAGUCUUUGUGUGAUAAUAUACCUCUGUAUGUGUCUGUUUUAAAUGCCAUCUCAGUCAUUUAUUUCUUCUUUUUUAUUACAAGCUCCCUAUUUCAACAUGAAAGGGUAGUUUACUUCUCCUGCUCAUUCCUUCUUCCUAUUGCUGAGACAGAAGGACUGCUGGUUAUUAAAUAUUCUUCCUAAUGCAGCUGGGCAGCCCAUGUGUGCUCUGUAUUGGUGGGCCGAGAGGAAUUUUUAUUGUCUAAUAAGUAGUCAAUAAAGAUGCUAAGAAAAGUUACUCCAGAAAUUAUUCCAAUACAUAAAACCAACAUGAAUGUCAGUGAUGCCAUCCAGUCCAAACAAAGCAAGUGAACAGCAGUGGCUUUGGACAGUGGAUGCAGAGCAUACAUUGAGCAAGUCGUAACACGUAUGAGAGCAAUGCCUCCAUUUUUCACCCUGGAGACUCAGUCGAAGCUGAUUUCUGAAAUCAUUUAUCUGCCUUUAGCUUGAAUGGACUCCUCAAUACACAUCUAUAGGACUUAGGGCAGUUGCUGACAGCAGAAAAGGAGAGCUGCGAUCAUGAAAAUGUGCACAUCAUAGGGAAGGAGAGAGAAGGGCUGGCAGCACUGGAGGUAAUGCUGGAGGGGAGGUCAGACCUCCUUCAGGUGAAAGUUGCACCCUCCAGCAAAUUUGGGUCCCCACUCUCUCCUGUCCCUUUCAAGAGACAGGGCAAAGGAAAAGGAGUGAGCUCAGAAGUCAGAAGCCCUCGUAGGAAUGGGAUGGAGAGAAGAUGCCCCAAGGUCAUCCCAUAAUGCUGAACAACUAAGAAAUACCCUGUGGUCUGAGUUAUUCCCACUGCCUUUCAUUGUAACAAGAACAUCAAUAUUUUGAAUGAAAAGCAGAAGGAAAAAUAUAGUGGAUCUUUGCAUAGUACCAAGACAAAUUUUUCUUCCAUCAUCUAAAGGUGUGUUUUUCUUUCCUGUGGAAUUUCAGGGGACAGCAUAGCCUGACCUGGGCCUGACACAUGUUAUGAGGUACAUCUCAUUAAAAUGCACACUGAGUACCAUUAAACAACAUCAAAGUUAAUUAAUAUCAAUGCAGCACCUGGGAUUUUAGGCAAACUGUAGCUCCAGCUGAGGAGCGUGCCCCGAAGUCUCUGUGCACAUCCAUCAACUGGUGUUGGAAGAAAGAAACGUUGCUCUGCUGAAAAAGAAACACUGUUUACCAUUCCUGUGCCCUACAGCAUUGGUAGACGAAGGCAGAGGGAUCACAAAUACCCUCCUUCAACUAUUACCAAUUCUCAACAAAAGAUGAACCAAGGAAAAAUGAACAGUUUUUAGUGUAUCAACACAAGUGUCCAGUGAGGCUACCCUCAAGGACUGAGAAAGGAAGAAAUGUUCUUCAACAAAAAUUAAUCAGUGCAUUUUUAGGAAAAGGGGGUCAAGGUUGACAUGCACGUAAGGAGCCAUGUGAAGGCAGGACUAGCCAAGCUUUUAGGUGGAGAAGAAGAGAUAAAUGUACUUUAUUAAGUUGCUGCUAAAACUGGAGCAGAUGAGUUAAGCCUUGAAGAAGAUACUCAUUUAAGAUUGAUGUGGAGUAAGUGUGGAGAAAGAGCUCUCCCGGUUGUCAUUCAUAGACACUCCCCAGUGUUUUCUAAUAAAAAUAAUCUGUUAAAAUCAGACUCUGUAGACAGCUUGUCUUUGGCUGCUAGUGCCAUUUCUCAUCAAUGUUUCAUAUAGCAAAUGCUUUUGGAAUAAGAGAGCUACUAAAGAAGAGAAAAUUUCGAUAUGGAUCCUUAAGUUACUCUUAUUUAUACUGGCAAAGCACUUUAUACAGUUUUAAAAAAUCAUGUUUAAAAACAAUACAAAAGAUCAGGGAAGGUCCCCUUGUUUUAAAAAAUUACAAGUACUAGGCUAGAACUAAAGUUCUAGAACUUAAGCUGAUGACAGAUUUUCCUUCUUUGUCCAGGUUUGCAGUGUCAUACAGUUGCAGAGUGCCACAGCCCUAUGCUAGGUGGUACUACAGAAGUGCUGGUGAUAAGGAAAUGCUGUAAGACCUCAGGAUAAACCAAUAACCAAGAACUGCAAAACACCAUGGAACACUCAUACUGCCAUGCAUCUAAAAUGCUCUCCUACACAACUGCUACAUGGUUGGUUAUCAAAAGCAGGAGAUUGCUUGGAGGGAAAAAAAACCUCUUUCCCCAUUUCAUCAUCUCGAAAUUUUUUCACUAUAUUUCUUCAGCAAGCAAAAGCUCAGUGACACUGGAUUCUCAAACUAGAGCUGAAGUGAGUCUGCAAAACCUUCAAGAAUCCAUUGUGUCCAUUGCUUGUGAGUGCCAUAAACUGGUUCUUGUUAUUUGUCCAUUAAGUUUGGGAAAUGGAUGGCAGAGUGUCUGUUCAGUAGUGAUAACACUGUGCCAGGACAAGCCCCAGCUUCUCCAUUGUGGCCAGGCCUGGAGGAGCAGUUAAUGCUUAUUGUUCUGAGAUGACAUUUGAAAUUUCAAGCUGGCUUCAUGAUUAAGCCAUGAAAGUCAUCUUUAACUCUUCUGCAUUAGUCAUGAUUUUGAAACUUUUAACAUGCAAAGAACAUCCCCCUGCCUCACAUAGCCUUGAUGUGCUUAUCCACAGAGUUCCUCUGCAAAAAGAUUUUCAACCACAGAGCUGUGUGACUCCACCACCUCCCCUGGCAUCCUAUGCCAAUGCCUCAUGACUCGGAAGAAAUUCUUCCUCUGGUGCAGCAUGAGGCCAUUCCCUCUCAUUCUACUGCUGUCACUUUGGAGCACAGGCCAACCCCCACCUCGCCACAGCCUCCUUUCAGGCAGUUGUAGAGAGCAAUCAGGCCUCUCCUGAACCUUCCUCUUCUCCAGAAUGAACAAUCCCAAACUUAACAAAUCCUUUGGGCUUCCUGUUGGAGAGAGAGAGAGCCUGUGUGAGUUAGCCAGCCAAAAUCCAUUUCUACAGUUUUCUAAGUGACUAGCAGUCUUAUAUCCAAGUGACCAGACCAUGGACAUUUGGGUAUCUGCAUUGAAAUACGCACAUCCCCAGUUUGCAGCUCAGUCUCUUCAGGACUCACUUCAUCUCAGCUUGUCGUGAACACAACUUUCAAACAGCCCAUGAGAUGUUUGUAAGGUGCCUCACCACGGUGUGCGGAUGAAAAGGAGCUAUAUAAAUGCAAAUUGAAUGUAUUCAUUUAUUCUAUACUGAAGGUUGUACUGAAGGCCAGGUAAAUUACACCCACGGCAUCUGCCUGUCUGCUCUUAAUGUCACCCACUUCAGCAACUGUAAGUUUCCAUAUAAUUUGUUAAGCACAAUUUUCUUUUGUUUGCCACUGCAGACCAUUAUUAAUCAAAUUAAACUUCUCAACGCAGUUUCCCCCGGCUGGGUCCACUAGCUACUGAGGGCUAGAGCCUGGUUCAUUGCCACUGGUGUCACUGCCUGAGCUUGCCAUGAGACAGCAGUGGGUGAGAGAUAUCUGUCCGUCCAGCAUAGUCUCACUUUGCCUGGCUCAGUGCUGAGAUACUUAAAGUAUCUAAAUGUAAGAAAGUAAGGGACAGAUUAUUUAGCAGGGUCAGUUGUGAUAGGACAGGGGAAGUAGUGAUCUCAAGCCAAAAGAGGGGAGAUGCAGACUGAAUGCAAGGAAGAAGUUUCUUAUGAUAAGGAUAGUGAUGCACUGGCAGAGGCUGCCCAGAGAGGUGGUGGAUGCGCCAUCCUUGGAGACAUUCGAGGAUAGGCUGGAUAGGGCUCUGAGCACCUGAUGGAGCUGUAGAUGUCCCUGAUCAAUGCAGAAGAGUUGGAUUGGACGGCCUUUGAAGGUCUCUUCCAAUUCAAACGAUUCUUUGAUUUUUUGAGAUCCUCACGACCCCGGGCUGAGUUCUGGCCCUGAGACAUUCACCAGCAGCAAGAGAAAGCCCUUCACUACUCGCUGUGACACUACCUGGAGCCCACUCACUAUUUCUUUUUCACCCCCACAAGUGUCUGCCUGUCACUGGCAUUGCUCUCAUUAUUGCUCUCUGAGGGCUGGAAGAAAAGUAUAUUUAUAUUUCCUGAAACGCUCCAUAUUCCUGUCAUUGCCAUUCCCCUGUGACCGCCUUUGACCUCUGCAGUCACUUUUUGUACCAACUCUAUUGCAAACACUUUUUCUUCUUUACUGCUGUUUCCUGUUCAAUUUUGCCUUCAUUUUUCCAUCUCUAUUUUUUACAUUGCUUUCCUGCUUUGCUCUUUUGUGCCCUCCCACACAUAUCCCCGUCUGCAGCGAUGACCCAGGGACCCUUUCAGGUAUCGUUUCCUGCCCUCUCUGACAUCCCUGCCAUAAGUCUUGUUGCAAGCUGCAAUGCUGCUAGAUCCUGAACACAGGGAGAUGAAAGUCAGUCACAAGUGAGACUCAGUGCUUGAAAGGAAGCUUUGCUUGUGUAACUUCAGAGAGCUCAGCUAUUCUGUUGCUGGUUUAUGGGCAGCCGGCCUCCUGCAGAGACAGCGUGCCUAGAGAAAAACAAAGCUUGUAGCUCCUAGCAUGGCUGCGUUGGUGUUUUGGUACUCCAAGUUCAUGAGAUGGGAAAAAGCAGUUUCAUUGAGGCACUCAUGAGAUUGGUUUUCCCAGCUCAAAUUAUGCAGGGAAACCUGAAGUCCUAGAGAAACAAAGGCUGGUUUCUAUCACCCUAAUGUUUGUGCGCUGGCUCCAGGCUUAGCCCUGAAAUCUGUGGGAUAGUUUGUGCUCGUGUAGACCUCUGAUAUUCUUUUAGGACAAGUGUGUAGGUAGCUUCCGACUCAUGAAACAUAUUGAACAACUUCUUGAAUUUGCCUGUAGAGUCAGUAAAAGCCAGAACUUAAGCUGCCAGAAAGCAGAAGAAACUCAGUGAAGGCAGUGGGCUUGCACUGAUUGGCUUUGGCAAAGCUUACAAUCCACAAGAAGAACCCAGUUGAUUUGAUUCCAGAGACAGAAAGAAAUAAUAUCUGGAAAGGAGACAGAAAUGCUACUGUUGCUAACUAGGAUGUCCUUAUCAGCGUGAUCCUUGAGUCAUCAAUCCUUGUUUACUGCAGUAAGAUUGAUGUGGUUCAAAACGGCACUUUGUUUUCAUCAUCUUAUUUUCCUUUUAAAAUCUUCCUUUCUUUUCCCUAGCAGGUGUUGUUUAACUGGCAGUGUGCUGGAAGAGACUGGAAUGAGGUUUUGUUCUAUCAGCUGAUGAGUUCCUGGCAGAUAAAAAAGGAUGAAUGCUGCUCCUGCAAAGGUCUAUUCAAACCCUUACAAGAGGCACCCAAUGGUCAACCUGCCCUUCUAGGAGGGCUUUGGUGAAGCAGCCUAAGAAAGGUAGAUCCAGAGUAAACUGAACAGUAAAACUUUAGCAAAGGCUGUAACUUAGCCAGAGCUCAAAGCUGAUGUGGUGUGAGGAGGAUGGUGAGACAAGCUAUUUCUGUCCCCUGAAAACAAACUAACUGCUUUAGGUUUCAGUUUGGUUUUGUAGUCAGUUCACGUCUGAUUGAUGUUAUGGGAAAUAGCUGGGGAGGAGGGGAAAGUAGCUGAGGAACACAAGGAAUUUGUCAAAUAGUUCUUUGGAAAAUGGUAAACGGCUGCAGCAAGCCAAAUGGAGUUAAUAGAUCCACCUCUCUCUGGUUUAGGAGGGGAUUCUCAUGCUCCCAGCCAUAUGCACAGGUCAGACACAUAACACAGACAUGGCUAGGUCAGAUACCUUCAGCUUUCCCCACCAGCUCCAGCAUUGCCUGGUGUCCCAUCCUGGCAAAACCAGCAGUGAUGACAAACCUCCUUUUCCAAAACUCAUUUGGAAGAAACAUGGAGAAGGGCCCUGCUGAUAUCUACUUCAGUAGAGAGCAAGGGUGAGGUGGACUAGCAGAUAGGUUCAGACACAUUCACUUUGCAGGUAUCAGGGUGCUCAUGGACAGGCCAUGUAGAGCACGUAGCGAGGCAAGAAGCAGCUAAAACAACCAAAUUGCAUAGCUCAGUUGCAUGUCUGGCAACUCAACAGAAUUGAUCUUAAUUUCUUCAUUUAUGUUAGUGCAAGAAAACGGAGCACGCAAUCAUCUGCACUCAUAUAUGGGAACUGCUGAGUCACGGCC